rnacentral:lncRNA from 1 species
AAGUAAUGAAUUGAGGAGGAAAUUGAAAAUUCAAGGGCAAAAAAGGUAUUGUGUCGGAUAAACGGGGAAACAUGAUUAUUGUUCAAAGUUGAGGGGGGUGUUUGAUUUUUAACACAAAGUUAGGAAGGGUAAAUGAUUUUCACCAAAUUCUAAAUGAUUCAUAUGAAGAAGUACAUAAAAGACCAAAACUGUCCUUAAACUAUUCACCCAAGUUUAAAAAUAUCCUCUGUCCACCUAUUUUGUAAAAAUUACUCUCGCCGUUUAAAAUCUGGCUCAUUCAUGCCCUUAACGUCAACUUUUCGGCCCACUCAUAACCUAAAAACUAACAACCCUAUUUUGAUUAAGAAAAAAAGUUUAUUAUUUAUUAUGUGUUAAUUUUCUCUUGGCUUAAAUUAAAAUCUCAUCCAUAUCCACUUAUUAGCCUACCCUGUCCUAGAUUUUCACCUUUCAACACCCACAGAUCUCCCUCUCCAUCUCUGAAUUUUCG